AGCGGAGGAACAUGUGGUUUAAUUCGAUGAUACGCGAGGAACCUUACCCGGGCUUGAAUUGCAGAGGAAGGAUUUGGAGACAAUGAACGCCCUUCGGGGUCUCUGUGAAGGUGCUGCAUGGUUGUCGUCAGCUCGUGCCGUGAGGUGUCGGCUUAAGUGCCAUAACGAGCGCAACCCCUCUCCUUAGUUGCCAUCAGGUCAUGCUGGGCACUCUGGGGACACUGCCACCGUAAGGUGUGA
rnacentral:rRNA from 1 species